rnacentral:lncRNA from 1 species
CAGGUGCCUUAAUUUAUUAAUGCCAGAAGAAGAGAGAGAUUCAAUAACAGCAACAACAAAAAAGGGAUUCCUGGCAGCAACCGUAUAUCAAAGUCAUUGCUUAUCCAGUUACCUUGCUGGACCUGAGCAGGACUGGAAUGACAGCAGCAAAUGUGAGACAAAGUGAAAGCAUGCAUCUCCUACCGCUGCUGACCUCUGCUACCAAACAUGAAAGAAAAACAGGAGUCUAACAGGAGCUGAAAGAAUCUGACAAAGUACUGGAUGAUUGCUUCCGCAGGAGUGAGUCUGUGCAAAUGCAUGAUUUAUUUGAUUUGCAUGCUGAGCUAAAUGAAGAUUCAGUUUGGACUAUACCAAAUGUGAUUUUUUUUCAUUUAAAAAAAUUAUUAUUAUUGCUGAAAUGAAAAGGAAAUACAUUUUGAGUUUAACAAAGCCUAUACUGAAACUUCUCCAAUAGCGCUUGGAGGCACUUGCAUGGGAGACUGCAAUUCAAAGCCCUGCUUACCACAGGGGAUUUCCUCUCCCAUAUCCACCUUUCCAGGUGAGAGACCCUCUUCUUCCAGCCGUCUCCAGAAGUGGGGGUCCCUGCCACCCUAUUUGAAUAGGCUGAGUGAGGUAAGAACAUAUCAACGGAGCAGCAAGUUUGGUCUCAUACUGGGGUGCAGGACUGAGCCCCUGUGCCCUGCUCAGGGCCCCUGCGAUGAACAUCACUCUCAGGCACACCAAGCAGUACAGUCGGAAUAGACUCAGUUUAUUGCUAGCGAAUAGGGUUAAAGACAUCAUCUCUUCCCAAAAGGUAGAUGUCACCUUGCAGCACUGAUACAUUGCUCUAGGAAGGUACAAGGCCAAGCAGGUCUGAUYUGAUACUUAAUGAGAGAUCAUGAAUGUGCCAUUAGGAAGACACAGUUCUGGCUGAAUGUCAUCUUGCACGAUCCCAUAUCUGCAUAUCAGGAAUGUAUCUUAUCCUAGAAUGGAAUUCCUGACAGCUUCAGUCUGAUCUUAAUGCAGCUGUGAUUGAAACCAGUUGGAAGGCUCCCAUGAGUUUCAAAUAUGCAAAGGUUCAUCUAAAUCCCUGGGGUUUAUGCAGCAAGAAGGUUGCAGCGCCAUUGCCAUUGUGAAUGAAUCUGAGCACUGACCCCACACUGUCUUUGCAGAGAAAUAAUUCCCAGUGGAGACUCUGGCACAGGAAAUGAUUUAUUCUAGCCUCACACAGGGUACUAAUCCCUUAGGAAACAUUAGACUGCAAUAUCCCAUAGCUUGUCUUGCUUUCUGAGUCUUCAUAGCUGAGCUGAAAAUCUCAGGACAGGUGCUCUUGUGAGACUUCGAGUAUUUUAUAUCUUGCUGUAGUGGGAAGUGUUAGGAGAAGAGCCUGGUGUUGGGCCGGACCUAGAAAACCUCAGUCAUGAAGAUCAGAAGUAAUGGGACAAGCACCAUCAAACUGCUCAUGUUGACAAGUCCUGGAGAUAUGCCAGGUAUCAUUCCAAGAGUUUCAUGACUGAUUUGCAAAUGUGUUUUUGUGUUGUUGUUGUUGUUGUUUUUCUUUUCCAUGUAAAGCAGCAAAAAGAAGAGGGCAAAAUUCUCAGCUUGUACAAACAUAGAAUUCCCCCGGGACCCUUGGGCACUAGCUAAAGUUCUGUUGUGAGUUUUUACCUAAACUACUUUGUGCAUAGUACAAUCAAACAUAUUUGUUAUUUUAACUAGCUUGUAGCUGAGUAGCUACUCAGUGCAUUUAAGAACUCCUCAGACUUGUGAACUGUGUCUAGCAGUGAUUUCUGCCCUUUCCUUUCUGUCUCUUCUUUCACAGAAGGCAAUUCUUUCUUCAACAGCCCCAAGGUUUCCAUUUGAAACUCUGGUGCUUAUGUCCAGCUAAAUUCUGUCUCUGCAAUACUAGACAAUGCUGUGUUGACAGCUGCACUGCAGAGUUCAACUUCAAAUACACCCCUUCUGUGGCCCAUCCAAGUAUUUGGCUUAAAAAACGAAUAAAUGGGAACACAGAUCCA